UGUUCUUCCAGUGGACCUGAGUUCAGUUC
rnacentral:piRNA from 1 species